CUCAGCCGCAAUUGGCCCAAUUGCGCUGGCUAAGCUAAGCAGGGUUGAGCUGGUCAGUACCUGGAUGGGAGACCUCCUGAGAAAACUAGGUUGCUGCUGGAA
rnacentral:rRNA from 1 species